GAUGAACGCUGGCGGCGUGCCUAAUACAUGCAAGUCGAGCGAAUGGAUUAAGAGCUUGCUCUUAUGAAGUUAGCGGCGGACGGGUGAGUAACACGUGGGUAACCUGCCCAUAAGACUGGGAUAACUCCGGGAAACCGGGGCUAAUACCGGAUAACAUUUUGAACCGCAUGGUUCGAAAUUGAAAGGCGGCUUCGGCUGUCACUUAUGGAUGGACCCGCGUCGCAUUAGCUAGUUGGUGAGGUAACGGCUCACCAAGGCAACGAUGCGUAGCCGACCUGAGAGGGUGAUCGGCCACACUGGGACUGAGACACGGCCCAGACUCCUACGGGAGGCAGCAGUAGGGAAUCUUCCGCAAUGGAUGAAAGUCUGACGGAGCAACGCCGCGUGAGUGAUGAAGGCUUUCGGGUCGUAAAACUCUGUUGUUAGGGAAGAACAAGUGGUAGUUGAAUAAGCUGGCACCUUGACGGUACCUAACCAGAAAGCCACGGCUAACUACGUGCCAGCCGCCGCAGUAA
rnacentral:rRNA from 1 species